rnacentral:rRNA from 1 species
GAUGAACGCUGGCGGCGUGCCUAACACAUACAAGUCGAGCGGUAGAUACUGGAAUGAUAUUUCGAUUGAGUGAAAGUAUUGAGAGCGGCGGACGGGUGAGUAACGCGUAGGCAACCUGCCCCAUACAGAGGGAUAGCCUCGGGAAACCGGGAUUAAAACCUCAUAACGCCAAAUGUUCACAUGGACGUUUGGCCAAAGAUUUAUCGGUAUGGGAUGGGCCUGCGUCUGAUUAGCUAGUUGGUAAGGUAACGGCUUACCAAGGCAACGAUCAGUAGCCGACCUGAGAGGGUAAUCGGCCACAUUGGAACUGAGACACGGUCCAAACUCCUACGGGAGGCAGCAGUGGGGAAUAUUGCACAAUGGGCGAAAGCCUGAUGCAGCAACGCCGCGUGAGCGAUGAAGGCCUUUGGGUCGUAAAGCUCUGUCCUUGGGGAAGAAAAAAAUGACGGUACCCUUGGAGGAAGCCCCGGCUAACUACGUGCCAGCCGCCGCGGUAACAC